rnacentral:tRNA from 3 species
GGGGCCGUGGGGUAGCUUGGUCCAUCCUCCUGGCUUGGGGUGCCAGAGACCCGGGUUCAAAUCCCGGCGGCCCCACCA